GGCUACCUGGCGCAAUGGUAGCGCGUUUGGCUUCGAUCGCCACACGGCUACAAUAACCAAAAGGUUGCAGGUUCGAUCCCUGCGGUGGUCA
rnacentral:tRNA from 1 species